UGAGCCAGCAGGUCUGACUUCAGUCGGGUUUGAAGUCGUCCUGCCCGAGUGUCCCUGAGCUGCGCCACGUGGGUUCCAGCGGCCACCGGGGAUGCUCAGAGCCCUCAGAACACAGCUUGGAGCCGCCAGCCGGGCCUUCGGUGGGCCCCUCACUCUCCACGUCUCUGCCGUCUCUCGGACUCUCACAGCAGGAGGGGCAGAUUCUGGGAAAUCCGGCUCACGAAUGCCAUUACUUUCGGCAACAGAAACAUUUCCCACCGGCCUGUGUGUCCCCCAGCCAGCUCCCCAGCCGGGCCCUGCGCCCUUCCGGCUGCGAGCCCGCCCCAGCUGACCCGCUGGACCGCUGUCCACGGCCAGUCUCAAGGGCAGGGUGUGCGCGGCUUGUCCUUUUUGCCUCUUGUCUGGGAGGCCAGGGCUCCCCACCCAUCACCCUGGAAGUCAGAGCCCAGAUAUCUGACUCCACAUGGAGCUGCCUUCAAACAAAAAUGAAUCCUAGGCCCCAAACAAAAAGUCACACGGGUGUGAUUUCUCAGAAUUUGUUUUUUUAAUGAUUUUCUUUUCUCUCUAAUGAAGGAUGGCUUUGUCGUUCAAGUCGUCAGCUGAUACAGCUGAAUCACUCUUUUCUGGGCAGCACGCAGAAAUAUCCCUACCUGCGCAGGGAAGCGGUAGCUAUGGUAACCGGAUGCAGAGGCCUUCAGCACCUGGCACUGAUGGUUGACGAGCUCCCGUGGCUGCGUCUUGUUCCUAAGAGUCUGUGCCGACUCCAGGUCCCUGAAGCUGGGCUCCUGGGAGGAGCACAGCACGCCAGUGAUGCCCCAGGGACUGUCUGCACUGGACUCUGGACACUGACCCCCUGAGCUCGUCCCUGUGAAGUGUGGGCUGCAGCGCCCGCCCUUUACCUGUGUGCAGCUGGCGUGAGUACUGCACUCGGCCCCCUGCCGGUGCGGUGAGAACGCGGUCAGCGAUCGGGGUGGUUAGUCUGACACCAGCGCCCACCAGGUCCAUCCAGAUCUCUGCUCCCGCUGGCCCAGGGGCAGCCUGCUCCCCUGCCUUUCCCCAGCACAGAGCACCUGGGAACCCCAGGGCGUCACCGUGAGGGACGUCGGGCCAUGGGCCAGGCUUUGGCUGCUGCAGCACCUGAUCUGAGAGGCCCCACCCCAGUGUUGCCUCACGUGAACAGCCUGACUUUAUCACAACUCACUUCCUGAGGCAUUUUGUCUGUAGUCUCCUUGUAUGCUGUCUGUCUUCUGCAGCUACAGUGAAAGGCCCAUGAAGGUGAAGAACUUCAGCUCUACUGGAAGGGGCAGGGGAAGCCACCCUUGGCUUCACUAACAAAGACCCUCAAGACAGGACCAGGUUCCGGGCCUCCAGCUCAGCCAGGCCCUCAGAGCCGGGCGGUGAGGUGAGCAGCCCCGAGCAGCGUGGUUCUCCCUGAUGCCUCGCUCCCCGAGCUCCAUCUCUGUAAUUACGCUGGGACACACUUCUCAUUACAGGCAGCCCGAGAAACCACAAGCGAGCAAGAAGCUGGUUAAGCAAGAAAGAGAAAGGCAAAGGCUGACCUGGUUUGGCUAAAAUGGGAUCUUACCGGAGCCCUUCCUGGGCGGCAGUCUCACCGAGCAGUGCUCUCCAGGGCUCGGCACAGACGCCUUGUUUUCCCUCCCUCUUUUUUUUAUUACAAUGAUUUUUAUUAUGAGUUCUGUCCUUUUUUUGAAUUGAGCAGAAUUACAAAGAGUGAGAAUUACUGCAAGAAUCUGAAUGUUCAGCACGAACAGAGCCUGAGGCGUUCAGCGUUCUCGGAGCCUCUCCUUGGAAAUGUGGGCUUGAACCUAACAAAUGAGCAUCCACGGAAGAUUUGAGGAGAGUGUGUGUUCGGCUUUCCAGAAAUCCAUGCAGCUCGGAGUGACCACGUGAUGUAACUCUUGCCAAGGAGUUUCGCCCAGAAGUCUCUAAGAAGCAUGCCACUUCUUGAAUAAAACGACAAAGCCUGCCUGGAUAAAGGGGUGGUGCCCACAAGUGCCCCAACCACUUUUCUGCCUUGAGAGGAAAGUCACACCAGGAAGGAGAAGAGGGAAGAUGGGGGUGAGGAGACCCUUGGUCCGGACAGCACUGGCCCGGCCCAGCUGCUGAGACCCUCCAGCUGCGACUCGCUGCGACGUGAGAGGCAAAGCCUGGACCUGCUGACGGCUCUGAUCAGCAUCUCCCUCCCGGACAGCCGGGCGCAGUCCUGGCUGUGAACUCCCGGCUCGGCCCACAGGGCAGAGGGGCAAUGCUGGCUGUCGUUUUGAUCCUGGAAACCAGCAUGAGCAUCCCGUUCUAGACGCCCCACGGGACGGGGCUCAGAGCAGACGUUGGCUCUCAGGGCACAACGUCCAAUUUCACCUCAGCCCCGCGCUCCUGGGACACAGCCUCGUGGUCCAGGGACCUGCUCCCUGCAGUAUGACUCAGUGAGCACUCACGGAUGCCCCUGCGUACACCUGUGACCGGAUCAGACACGGCCCCUCCGAAUUCCCGUUCUUUGCCUCCUAAACAAUUGGCUGAUGCGGCCAAUAAGGACAAAGUGCUAACCGACCUGACCACCCGGUGGUCAAGCUCCUUUCAUCCCCGUGGGGCCCUGGGCUCUGCCCCACCCCGAGCCCGACCCAGCACAGCUCCAGCUGGUCCUUGAACACGACGUACGGGUCCGAGCAUGGCUCUUCUUGGCCUGGAGCUCUGAUGGUCAGAGCACCUUGCACUGCAGUGUUUCCUUCUUUUC